GAUGAACGCUGGCGGCGUGCCUAAUACAUGCAAGUCGAGCGAAUGGAUUAAGAGCUUGCUCUUAUGAAGUUAGCGGCGGACGGGUGAGUAACACGUGGGUAACCUGCCCAUAAGACUGGGAUAACUCCGGGAAACCGGGGCUAAUACCGGCUAACAUUUUGAACCGCAUGGUUCGAAAUUGAAAGGCGGCUUCGGCUGUCACUUAUUGAUGGACUCGCGUCGCAUUAGCAAGUUGGUGAGGUAACGGCUCACCAAGGCAACGAUGCGUAGCCGACCUGAGAGGGUGAUCGGCCACACUGGGACUGAGACACGGCCCAGACUCCUACGGGAGGCAACAGUAGGGAAUCUUCCGCAAUGGACGAAAGUCUGACGGAGCAACGCCGCGUGAGUGAUGAAGGCUUUCGGGUCGUAAAACUCUGUUGUUAGGGAAGAACAAGUGCUAGUUGAAUAAGCUGGCACCUUGACGGUACCUAACCAGAAAGCCACGGCUAACUACGUGCCAGCCGCCGCGGUAA
rnacentral:rRNA from 1 species